AAAGAUUAAGCCAUGCAUGUGUAAGUACAAUUGCUUGGAUACUGAACGCGGAAGCUCAUUAUAACAGCUAUAGACUACACGGUAAAUAUUUUAGUUGGAUAACUGAGGUAAUUCUUGAGCUAAUACACGCUAUUUAUACCUCAUUAGUGGUGCGUUUAUUUGAUUAAACCAUUAUAACGGUUGACUCAAAAUAUCCUUGCUGAUUUUGUUAUUAAAACAUACCGUAUGUGUAUCUCGUUUAUCAACUUUCGAUGGUAGGGUAUUGGCCUACCAUGGUUGUGACGGAUAACGCAGAAUUAGGGUUCGACUCCGGAGAGGGAGCCUGAGAAACGGCUACCACAUCCAAGGAAGGCAGCAGGC
rnacentral:rRNA from 1 species